UGGCGAACGGGUGAGUAACACGUGGGUAACCUGCCCAUCAGAAGGGGAUAACACUUGGAAACAGGUGCUAAUACCGUAUAACAAUCAAAACCGCAUGGUUUUGAUUUGAAAGGCGCUUUCGGGUGUCGCUGAUGGAUGGACCCGCGGUGCAUUAGCUAGUUGGUGAGGUAACGGCUCACCAAGGCCACGAUGCAUAGCCGACCUGAGAGGGUGAUCGGCCACAUUGGGACUGAGACACGGCCCAAACUCCUACGGGAGGCAGCAGUAGGGAAUCUUCGGCAAUGGACGAAAGUCUGACCGAGCAACGCCGCGUGAGUGAAGAAGGUUUUCGGAUCGUAAAACUCUGUUGUUAGAGAAGAACAAGGAUGAGAGUAACUGUUCAUCCCUUGACGGUAUCUAACCAGAAAGCCACGGCUAACUACGUGCCAGCAGCCGCGGUAAUACGUAGGUGGCAAGCGUUGUCCGGAUUUAUUGGGCGUAAAGCGAGCGCAGGCGGUUUCUUAAGUCUGAUGUGAAAGCCCCCGGCUCAACCGGGGAGGGUCAUUGGAAACUGGGAGACUUGAGUGCAGAAGAGGAGAGUGGAAUUCCAUGUGUAGCGGUGAAAUGCGUAGAUAUAUGGAGGAACACCAGUGGCGAAGGCGGCUCUCUGGUCUGUAACUGACGCUGAGGCUCGAAAGCGUGGGGAGCAAACAGGAUUAGAUACCCUGGUAGUCCACGCCGUAAACGAUGAGUGCUAAGUGUUGGAGGGUUUCCGCCCUUCAGUGCUGCAGCUAACGCAUUAAGCACUCCGCCUGGGGAGUACGACCGCAAGGUUGAAACUCAAAGGAAUUGACGGGGGCCCGCACAAGCGGUGGAGCAUGUGGUUUAAUUCGAAGCAACGCGAAGAACCUUACCAGGUCUUGACAUCCUUUGACCACUCUAGAGAUAGAGCUUCCCCUUCGGGGGCAAAGUGACAGGUGGUG
rnacentral:rRNA from 1 species